UCCCUGUAGCGCAAUGGGUAGCGCUUUGGACUUCUAAACCAAAUGUCAUGGGUUCGAAUCUCAAACGGGAGAA